AAAAAUAACAUUCUUGGCAAUACUGUACAUUCAUUUUCAUAACUGAAAUUCUUCCCCAAAGUGAUAAAUUCAUCCUUCCCCAGACAUCCGUAAUUUCUUUAUCUCUUUCCAUGUUGUUACAUACCUAUCCUUAAAAAUAUUUAUAUUCUUGACUGUUAGCCAUACCUUCACCUUUCCCCUCAAUUAUCAAUUGUGUUGCUACUUGUAGCUCAUUUUUAUUUUGUUCUGUCAUAUUUUUCACCAGUAGGUUUGUUUUAUUUUUAUUUAACUUGAAUCCUGCCACCUGUCCGACCUCAGAUAUUGUGUAUAUUUGGUAUACUCGCCAACAGGUUUCCUACAAGGUCAUCUGCAAAUGAUCUCCUUUUAUUUGCUGUGCACCCAUCUGUUAUACCUUUUAUUUCUUCAUCAGAUCUUUUGUUCCUUGCCAGGGUCUCUAAUACAAAUAUACAAUAAACAAUAAAAUAAACAGUAACUAAAAUAAACAAUAACAGUGACAGGGGUCAACCCUAUCUUGUCCCUUUUGUAAUUUUACAUUAUCCUGUGCCUCAUUACAUCAAUACAUCAAGCCCAAAUAGGCUCACCACCCAAGCGGGGUGGGGGCGGGAAGUCAAUCCUGGCUUUCAGAAUGUAGUGAUCAGACCAUGGCACUUCCACAAGUGAGGACAUGAUCCUCACCAAAAAUCAUACUAUACCCGCACCAAAAAUCAAAUCCAGCAUGUGGUGAGAGCCCUAAUAUUGCCAUGGAAGACACCAGGUCCAGAGCCUGUGAGGAGGGGGUGGCAUCAGCAUGGACAUUGAAGUCCCCCAAAACCUCCAAGACCCAGCCUGCCGCCACAUCCAACAGGCCUGACAGGGUGGCUACUGGUGGUUGGUACACCAGCCAGACAGCCAAGCUCUCCUUUGUGCCCCACACUAGGCCAGCACAUUCAAUGCUGGAGAUUGAUGGUGAUGGCAGAGCCCUGAAAGAGCAAUCCUUCUGGAUUAACAACGCUCAAUUUUAUGCUCAAUUGAGAUUUUAUGCUCUUUAUGCUCAAUAAUCUCCUCUUCAGUUCUUCUAAUUCUUCUAAUUCCAAACUCACGGGUUUAUCUUCCUCCUUCGUGCAGGUAUUGUUUCUUAUUGGCGUUUGCUUUGGUUCUCUGCCGGGGACUGGCUGCCUCACUGUCUCAUCCUUGAAAACCCUUAUCAGGGGUCCUAGGAGGCCAUUUUGGAUGAAGGCAGAGUGACCGGAAAGAGGCGCCACCAGAGGAGAGGCAAAUGAAGACAUGCCACCACCGCCAUAUUGGUUGAGGGCAGUUGGGCCUAGCCUGGCCAUUUUGUGGCACUGGUCUCCCUUGUGAGCAUUUCCCUGAGCGCUAAGCUCCUUCAGGAGCUGCCCAGGUAGACUGCCACUGGCACGGGAGGCUCCACCCGAGAGAAGAAGCGCCUAGGAGGCCAGGGUAGCCCCACAAGGUGGGCUUCUGUCCCCCUGGGCGUCUUUUGGGGUACAGGGGCCUCCGCCCUGCCAACCUUUGGCCCCCCUCACCCUGCCGGCUUGCAGAUAAGGUGGGGGUGAAGGCCUGCUGGGUGCUGCUGUGAGGACGGCGCACC